CGGCGGUUCGACCCCGCCAGAGGUCAUAUGUUUUUGUUUCUGAUCAUUCUGCUUUCCCAGCCGAUGAAGCACCGAAUUUAAUUUACAUU